UUACCUGGCCAACAUGAUGAAUCAAGUUUUGAUCAGAUCGCUUAAUGAUUAGGGUUGACCCAUGUUUACUAGAAAAUCAGUUCGACUGAUUUAGGUGCCCCUAGUUCGACUUGUCUUUAUCCUCGACAUGAUUUGGUGAGGUUAGUGGGAGGAUUGAUGAUUUGUCAGUUGAACAGGCUUGUUUCUAGUCCACCCUAAUCUAACUUGAUAAAGUUAGUGG
rnacentral:lncRNA from 1 species